GGAUUGUGGCUCAGUGGUAGAGCGCACCCCUAGCAUGGGUGGGACCCAGGUUCGAUCCUCAGCACCA
rnacentral:tRNA from 1 species